rnacentral:rRNA from 1 species
CCUUCGGCAACGGCACCGCGAUCUUCACCCGGGACGGCGGCGCGGCCCGCCGCUUCCAGCUGGAGGUCGAGGCCGGCAUGGUCGGUGUCAACGUCCCGAUCCCGGUCCCCGUCGGCU